GUGGGGAAUAUUGGACAAUGGGCGAAAGCCUGAUCCAGCCAUGCCGCGUGUGUGAAGAAGGUCUUCGGAUUGUAAAGCACUUUAAGUUGGGAGGAAGGGUAGUAACCUAAUACGUUGCUACUUUGACGUUACCGACAGAAUAAGCACCGGCUAACUUCGUGCCAGCAGCCGCGGUAAUACGAAGGGUGCAAGCGUUAAUCGGAAUUACUGGGCGUAAAGCGCGCGUAGGUGGUUCAGUAAGUUGGAAGUGAAAUCCCCGGGCUCAACCUGGGAACUGCUUUCAAAACUGCUGAGCUAGAGUACGGUAGAGGGUGGUGGAAUUUCCUGUGUAGCGGUGAAAUGCGUAGAUAUAGGAAGGAACACCAGUGGCGAGGGCGACUACCUGGACUGAUACUGACACUGAGGUGCGAAAGCGUGGGGAGCAAACAGGAUUAGAUACCCGGGUAGUCC
rnacentral:rRNA from 1 species